ACCCGCACUAGUUCUCAUCUGACGAGGGGGGCGCUGCACCUGCGGGGACAGGCGCUGCCCCGACCCAGCGCCUCCCCCGGCCCAAUGGAACAAGAAGACGGAUCGGCAGCUGCUGCUGCGGAGCAACAGGCGGGCGGAGCAGAGCAGCAGCUCGCAGAUCUCGAUCUCCUCCACCACUUCAAGCGAGUCCUCCACUCCGACCCCCUCAUCGAUGAGGUGGGUUUCUUGCAUCCCACACAGUUCAACUCACUAGGCUGCGGCCAGGACGGCGAUUCCGCACCCCCAAGCUCCGGAAUUGCAGCGCAGAUACUUCUGGUGCCGAGACCACAAGCUUGCCAUCUCUGCCGAGAUCCUGCCCGAGCUCUACCGCGCCGCCCGCGAUGCCUACUGCAGCUCCAGAAACGCUCCACUACCAGCGUCUCAUCUGAUGAGCCACACCAAGGCGCUUCUCAUACUUUGCCCUGACCUGCUUACCGCAUGGAACUCCAGGAAGAUGGUUCUGUUGGAGAAAUAUGAUUUCACAAAGAUCAAGGAUGAGCUGCAACUGUGUGCACUGAUCCUUUCCUACUCACCAAAGAACGAGAGCACAUGGAGCCAUAGGAGGUGGGUGUUAAAACAAGUUGCAGAGCAUCAUCAAGAUAUGACAGAGCUUGUAGAGAAGGAAUCUGUACUAGUGAAAGAGAUAGCAGAGAGGUCAAAGAUGAACUACCGUGCCUGGAGACAUCGCUGCUGGCUUAUUCCUUACAUGACAAGGAAACAGGUGCUGGAUGAACUGAAGAAGUCAACAAGAUGGAGUGAGUUACAUGUUGCUGACAACUGCUGCUUUCACUACCGCAGGUCUCUGCUUCUUGCACUACUAGACGUUCGCCUAGAGAACAGAGAGGAUUCCCUCAGUUGGGAGUCAGAAACCUACCUGCUCUGGAAGGAGGAGCUGAGGUGGAACGAGAUGCUGAUCAGACGCCACCAAGGGAGAGAGUCACUGUGGAACCACCGGCGGUUCCUUUUGCAGUGGUGGAUACAGCAAUUGCUUGCUGUUGAUGAAACCCGCUCCUCAAUGACAUUCCAGGUGGAUCUGUUCAUCACCCAGGAGAUAUGCCUGCUGUCAGAGUGCUUGAAUGAGCCUGCAGAUGAGUUCGAAGAGUCACGUGUCCAAGCAGAGCUCUCAGCGCUCUACAUUCUGUGGAUAUCAAAGCAAGUUCCGGCUGUGAAUGGGAAGCUGAAAGAGAGGCUGCAUUCCGUUUCCAUUAUGGGGCUGAAGGACCUGCUGGUAAGAGCCUGCCGACCGGAGAAGACGAGGCUGUGGAUGAAUGUGCUCGGUCUGGCCGAUCCAUUACAAUGACGACAUGACAUUUCUUAUUGACAUUGAGGGUGUCUGCUGCCUCGAGUCCUCGACUGCCGUUGUAACGAAACACAUGUAUUGCAUUUUGUAACCAAACACACACAUGUAGAUCUCAACCAUUUGGUUCGGGUCCUUUGUAAUUGCAAACCAGACUAAACAGGGGGUUGGGAUUGCCGGCAACUCGUUACAGGCAAAUAGGUGGUGUGAUAAUGUUAGCAAGGCAAAAUUGGGCAUUUAAAUAAAGAGAUAAAUUUAACAAACA